rnacentral:lncRNA from 1 species
CAGAAAUGACCUCUAAGAAGCUCUGUUAAAGGUGGGGAAUUUUUUGGCUCCUGUAACCAAAUCAUGGAAAUGCAAGGAAGCCACUGGCCCUGUCACAGCUGGUUUGGGGGAUGGCAUCCUGCCAUCUCUUUCUAUUUUUAUUCUUAUCUUUGGAAGUUAGCUGUUCGCUCUUUCAGGCCUGGUUACAUGACCUGUUGGUGGCUGUGAAAUCAUGUCUUUGCAGCGUCUGAUGAAACCAAGGAGUCCUGCUCUCUGUGAUUCAGAACAGCUUCAAAAUGUAGGGGCCCAGGAAAAUCUGUUUUUGACCAGGCUUGGAUCAUAUGCUUACAUCUUGGCUCAUCUCUGGAUGCAACAGGAGAAGUACUGUGUCUAAGGGAUGUGCUCUCAUCAGUGGUCAAGGAGGUGGCCUGUUCCAGAGCUUGGAACCUGUGUUUGUUCUCCCCCAAGCUCUCAUCCCUGCUGGCUUCUUCCCUGGGAAGGCGGCCUGGGACCAGGCCAAGGAUCUAUGGAAAAUUGCAGCUAAGCUUGCAUAAGUAAACCUUGGAAGAGGGGAGGCUGAGGAAUGCCCAGAAUGGAAGGAUGCUGCGGCCUGUCCUGAGCUUUCCAGCCUGCCGAGCUAUGAGCCUUCAAGAAGGCUCUGGUGGCAGUGCCUGAAUGGGCAGCAAAAUGCCAAAGGCAAGUGGCCAGAGGAAGAGCAGCAACCCGGACAUUCAACCUCUGGAAAAAUGAAAAUUCACUGGAGUCUCGUCUCAUUUCAGAGAGCAGGAGCUGCCUGGUUUCUAAACUUGGAAGUGCUGAGUCUCAAAUGCCAGGGCACAGCGUAUAACAUGGAAAAAAUGAAACCCUCUUCUGUUGCAUCCAACUGCAUGGUCACUGAGAACAGCAAAGUAGUAGUCAUUCUUGAAGUGUGUGCAAGGAAGAUCAGCAAAAGGAAGUCACAGCCUAGGAUUUCUGAAGAGCCUGCCUCAGAUUAUUGCCCCUCCACUGAGCCUGGGCCUCCCUCUGAAUUUAAACGAGCUGAUACUUUUGUGGACAACACAAUGGUGAGGUCACGCUGA